rfam:Aspergillus lentulus DNA, contig: Alt05, strain: IFM 54703.
GGCAAGAUGGCCGAGUUGGUCCAAGGCGUGAGGUUAAGGUCUACCUUAAUAUCAACUUCCCAAGUUCCUCAUCAUCGUAUGAUGGCGUGGGUUCGAAUCCCACUCUUGUCA